GCUUAACACAUGCUAGUUUUUAAGUUUUUAAAACUUUGCGUACAGGUGCGUAAUAAUCAAUAUUUUACCUUAAAUAAAAAAAUAAACAGCAUUAGUUUUCUAAUAAAUAUUGUGAAUUUUUUGAAAAGGUUAAACACUAGUUUAAGAUAAAGUUGAUUUGGUAUUAGGUAGUUGGUGUGAUUAAAGCGCACCAAGCUGAUGAUCCCUAACUGGUUAGAGAUAAUGUACCAGUCACAUUGGAACUGAGACAAGGUCCAAACUUUUUUAGAUGAGGCAGCAGUGUGGAAUCUUGGACAAUGAGCGCAAGCUUGAUCCAGCAAUAUUUCAUGAGUGAACAGACAGUUGUCAAGUUGUAAAACUCUUUCAGCAAUAAAUUAAUAAUGAUAUAAUUUGCAGUAGGAAGUCCCGGCAAACUAACACAGUGCCAGCAGCCGCGGUAAUACUGGGGGGGCCAGCGUUAUUCAUCAUUAUUGGGCGUGAAGGGUGCGUAGGUGGUCCGAUAAAUUUAUUGUUAAAAACUAAAUUGAAAUAUUAGUGUGCAUGUAAUAUUUACGGACUUAGAGUUAGAGAGAGGAUAGUGGAAUUUUUAAAGAUAAAGCUUGCAUUUAUUUGAUCUUAAAAGGAAUCUUAUAUGGCGAAGGCUACUAUCUGGAUCUAAACUGACAUUGAGGCACGGAAGUGUGGGUAGCAAGCAGGAUUAGGGACCCUGUUAGUCCAUACCGUAAACGAUGAAUGUUCAAUGUUGGGGUACUUAUCUCAGCAUUUUAGUUAACACGGUAAACAUUCCGCCUGGGAAGUACGAUCGCAAGGUUGAAACUUAAAAGAUCUGACGGGGAUUUGUCCACACGGUGGAGCAUGUUGUUUAAUGCGAUGAUCCGCGCAAAACCUUACCAGUUCUUGACAUGUACGUCAAAUUUUAUAUUUAAUCAUAUAAAAAAGUAUACAGGGUUGCAUGGCUGUCGUCAGGUUAUAUCGUGAGACUUUAGGUUAAUUCCUAAAAUAAGCGAGACCCUUUUCUUUAAUUGCUAGGUUUUUCUUAUCUAAAAACAAAAAGUACUUUAAAGAUAUAGUUGAUGUUUUAUUAUUAAACGUCAAAUGAAAGAAAGGAUUACGCCAAGUCCUCAUGACCCUUAUGAACUGGGCUACAGAUGUGCUACAAUGGGGAUAACAAAAAGAAGCGAUAACGUGAGUUUGAGCAAAUCUAUAAAUUUCCUCGUAAUAUGGAUUGUUCUCUGCAACUCGAGAACAUGAAGGUGGAAUCGUCAGUAAUCGUGAAUCAGAACGUCACGGUGAAAGAGUAAUCAAAUUCAGUACAUACCGCCCGUCACGCGCUGAAAGUUAGUUUCAGUUGAAGCUUUGUUUUUAUUUGUAUUAAUUGAAAAAUUAUUACAAUAAUAGGGGCGAUGCUGGGAUUAGUUAUU
rnacentral:rRNA from 1 species